UGCCUGGAAUCCAGGGCAUGAAAUGGUGGCAGACCUACCAGGAGGAGAGAAGAUAGUGCUCUUGCCAAUCAUUAGGCAAAGAAGAGGUGCAUUCUCAAAUCUCAUAGUAGCACUGGCUGAUUAGAAUCAAACAAGAGGUGACAUUGGGAGAUCCAGGACACUUUGGGAAAAGUUCAGCAGCAACCAGAGGCAGGAGGGAGAAACCCUGAUUAGGCUCCUGGAGCUUUCCCAGACAGCAAGGCUUUACUGCGAGUCUGAAUUUGCUCAAAAAACCGGACACAAAUAGUGGAUUUUUUUAAAAUCCUGGACAUAAAACGGGCAAUGCGCAGAGAAGAAGCCGGAUCAUGUGUGAAGUGCUCCCCAAUAUCUCACAAGGACUUCGGCUGCAAAUACAGCCAGUCAUGUGCAAACACACACACCCUCCGUUCCAGUGAAGAAGCAAGCUACAAGCCCCAUCUGGGAACGCUCCUGGUGCUGGGAGAAGUUAACCCUUCCCCCCAGGGCAUAUUCCUGAUGAAAACCCUGCCUGCCAAGCUUGCCAAAGGCUUCCAUCUGAAAUCCUCAACAGCGAGAGAAAUUAACCUUGGUCUCCUGGAUGCAGAAACAUGCCUUUAUUGUAAAUUCAUGCCCCAGAGAAACAAUUUUUUUUAGCAAAGUUCAGUCAGCCUUGCAGAGGUAAUGCCUCAUUAAUUUUUUUUUUUAAAUGGGAAACUAACUUUGCAUACGACACUGUGUGCAAAUUUUCAGCUGAACAUCUGCUUUGUAGGUAGUACUACUAGCAAUAUCAUCAAUAAUGCAGAAGUUAUCAAGGGCAGAUGACACAUAGGGUGCCCCACAAUCCAAGCUGAUUUUCAAGCCUCGUUUAUUUUGCAUUUCCAUAAAUGCAAUGGAACCAAGAGACUGAUGGGGAGGAGAGCUGGUCUUUCAGCAGCGAGCAUGAACUGUCCCCUUUGCUAAGCAGGUCCAUCCUGUUUUACAUUUGGAUGGGUGACUACAUGUGAGCUCUGUCAGCUGUAAGAUAGCCAUAGCUCAGUGGUUUGCAAGCAGAAGGCUCUAGCUUCACUCCCUGGCAUCUCCAGGUAGGGCUGGCAGAGACUCCUGCCUGAAACACUGAUGAGCCCCUGCCAGCCCAUGUAGGCAAUACUGAGCUAGAUGGACCAAUGGUCUGACUCAGUAUAAGGCAGCUUCCUAGGUUCUUAUGAUCAAAUUAUGCAUAGGCCAAAGGCAAGUCUCUAUAUCCAUUCUUGUCUAACCAUCGAUUUCUAAAACACAAGAGUAUACUGAUGACACACCCUUUUCCUGCCAGCAUCUCAUCCUGUGGUAACAAUGGAGGGGAUUAACCAGCAUUUAGUGUGUGUCUGGGAGUAGGUAGGAAUAAACAAGCUGAAACUUUCAGAUGCGGCAGGGGUAUUGGCCAGGAGUUCCUGUGAAUGGGAGCAGUUGUACAGCCUGUUCUAGAUGGAAUUACACUCCCUUUCAAGGAGGAGGUAUACAUCUUGGGGUUGGUCCUGGAUUUGGUGCUUUCUCUGUAUAACUAAGUGGCAAGGAUGGCAAGGAGUGCUUUUUACCAGCUGCAGUGUUUCUUGGAGAAAGCAGAUUGUCGGGAUGCCAUGUUACCUGGUGGCCUGUGUGGCCCUGUGGAGUCUGGAGAAGGGUGUGGCAUUCCUCCUGUGGGGCUUUUGUUAUCUUCAGGGGGCAGUGAGGAUGAGAAGGGUCCAGGGCGGUCAGAUCCUGGUGGGGUUGAGAGGGCAACGCAGGGAGAGCUGCAGGAAACAGCUCCAGGGAGACAGCUAGGUUGGGUGUGGCAGGAAACAGGAAGCAAGGUCAGGAAGGGGGCGGGGCUGGAAGUAGGCUUGAAGCCCUGUCGGCUCUGCAUUGGGGUAUUUAAAGACAAGGCAGCUGAUGAUGAGGGGCUGCUUCUGAGUAUGGGAGCCAGGAGUUAUCCAGGAGAGGGAACUAGCUGAAUGCAGCAAGCCAGGAGGAGGACUCAGGUGACCAACUAACCUCCUCCCCUGUCUGUUCCUGAGGCUGACCUUUUCUGUGCUAACCCAGUCAUUCUGGGAUUCAAGAAGGGCCAGGAGCCCACCUUGUCCCCUGGGAGUCUGACUACAAUUACCCAUGCACUAGUCAUUCCCAGGUUCUCGGUGUGGGGCCACCUUUAGAGUCCAGAAACUUCAAGUGGCUCAGACUAAUGUUGCCAGAGUUUGGUCUGGGGCUCAAAGAUUGGUCCAUACAACCCUGGUCUAGUAUCAUCUCCACUGGCUGCCUGAUUGUUUCCAGAUUGAGUUUAGUACCAGUUUGAACUUAUAAAGGCCAAGAAAGCUUAGGAUAUUUCAGGAACUGCCAGCUCUUAGAUGAACUUGCCUGAUGCUUAGUGUCAGAGGCUCUGCUCUCCAUCCCAGCCUUGUCAGGAGCGGAGCCAGGCUGGCGGCGGCCCAUGUGCGGCUGCCACCGCAGCCCCCUGGCCCCACCCCCCGUGUCUGAUGUUAGGCACAGGGGCAUGAUCUCCCUUCCAAAUGGGGACACGUGGCCUGAUUGGGAACAGCCUGGGUUCUUUGAACCCAUUCGCCCAAUGGUGGCUCAGCCCCUGACCCUUGUGCAGUAUCAGACUGACCUUGUGUGACAGAAGAAAGGGCCUUGUCAGUGGUAGUGCCAGGACUAUAGAAUGAGAGAUUAGCCUGGCUCCAUCUUUGAGUGUUGGGGGCCAUUUUUAAAGACUCUUGUUUCAGUAAGCCUUUAAAAACCUAUAAUUUAAAAUGUGCUAUCAUUUUAGUUUGUUGCCUUACUUUACUGAUCCUUUGUGAUUUUAUCAAGUGAUUUACAUUUUUUAAUUUGCAUGUUGUUAUAGAAGAGCAAGAUAAAAAACUAAACAGACAAAUAAAUAAAUAAUAAAAGUCAUAUGAAGUAAGCAGCCAAAAUGCUUUCCCCCUUUUAAGGCAACCAUCACGAUGCUGAUGUCCUGAAAUGUUCAGUUCAUUAGCCUUCAUCAUUUUCCAUUUUUGGUACCUAGAAUGGCCUCCCAAGAGAUCUAUUCCCUGCCUUUAGGUGGACCCUAAAAAACAGGACAAUUCUAAUAAAUAAUAUGCCAGUGGGCUUUUAAAAGAACUGGUUCUUUUUAACUGUGCCUGUUUUACUACUGUGUUCUAGUUAGACUGUUGCUUUUAAGUUCUUUUAGUUUAUUAUUCUGUUUUUGUGUUUAGAUUAUCAUCUGAUGUUUUUAAAUGCUGAAAGUAGUCUUGAUUUUAUUUUAAUACAGAAAGGAGGAGCAUACAUUAAAUACAUGAAAUACAAAGAAGCCAUUUCAUAUAUAUUAAAUAUUAUUAUUAUUAAAGUUAUUUACAUCCUGUCCUUCCAGUAGACUCAACAAAACACAUACAAUGUAAAAUAAAACAUUAAUAAAGUUAAACAAGUUAAAAGACCAGACUAAAACCACAUUUAAAAUUACAAAUUUUAAAAGUUUCUAAUUAAAAGUUAGUAAUAGAAAGCUAAAAACUGAGAACAAAAACUAAAAAACCUACCAGAUAUAAGCGGCAGAUAAAACAUUAAAUACAUUUCUGCAGCUGGCUCACUAGCAAACAAACAAGUGACAUGCCCAAACAGUGAAAUGGGGAGGAGGGGCUCACAAAAGAUCCUGGCUCUUCUGCCACGAUUUGUAGAGUUAUGACGAAUCAAGAGGCACACAGAAGUCUCACUGUGCUGACAUCACGCUAUUCAUAUGAGUAGAUCACUUGCAUGAGUAGCUAUUGAAGACAGCCAGCCAGCUCCAAUAACAUAUGAACUGAUUCAUCUGGCUCAGUACUAACAAUCCACAUCAAGAACAGAUUUCUAACUCAACGACACAGAGACCUUUUCCAGUUCUGUUACCAUGAGCUGCCUUAACUGGAGAGGCUGGAGACUGAGCAUGCGUACAAAUCACACAUGCUACAUCUCAGCUGCCCAGAUUUGGAAUCUCUGCAGUCCCCCUCACCCACCCCCUCCCCCCACCCCAGUGUUCUGGAAACAUUAUCCUCUGGCUUUUAGAUGGCAUCCAAGAUCAGCGGGCAGGGACUGUUUAAUCAAUUUCUAAAAGGCCACUCUUACCUUUCUUGAACUUAUGUACAGGAAGCUUCUUAAGCUGAUCUUUUUGAAGCCGAUUUCUUCUUGCUCUGUGUCUGUCCUGGACAAAUUUUGUGAUCUUGAAAAACACAGACAGAAAUUAAAUGUGGAAAUUCAAGACUUUUUUUUUUUUUUUAAGGCACAGAGUAUUUGCUUGUGUUCUGAAGACAGAAAACACAGUAAGCGUAACAGUCUAAGAGUGAAAAUGAGAAAUCUUUAUACACAUUCAUAACCAAGACCAACACUUCCAAAAGGCUACAAUGCUUCAUCCUCUCUGACAUCGUUGUAGUGCCCACUACACAAAGCAACUAAAAGCAAAAUUGAAGCUGCUCUAGGACAGCCAAUGAAUAAACUAUGCACUCUUGUCAACCCUAGAAGCAUUCAAGCAAGGCUGUAUUAAAACACAACAUUUUGUUUCUUUAAACAAUUCAAACACGUUCAGCACUUUAAAAAAGAAAAAGCCCAGUGGGUACCAAAUAUGAAACUGGAUAGAAACAGUUAUUAUGGAAGGAAGCACCGGCUACUGGACAAGAGCCACUUUUGACAUCUACUACUGUGUUGUAUUAAUGGUAUUUGCUGAGUUAGGUGUAUGUGCAUGUUUUACAUUAUUACCAUCUAUUGGUAAUAAGAUGGUAAAUUAUUGCCAUUUAUUUAAUAAUAAAGUGUAAUAUAUUAUUAAUAAUAAUUAUUAUUAUAAUAAUUAAAACAGUCAGACAGGUGUUAUUGACUGGUUUGUUUUACCCAGACAUUGAGUCCUUCCCAAGGACCUGGGAUGGCUGAAUUUUAUUAUCAAUAUCGUUGUUAUUAUUAUAGAUAUCAUUGCAAAAUAUAGGCUGUUCCCAGUAAAGUUGCUUUUUGUAAUUGGCUGAUGGUGAUUUCUGUGGCCCCUAUGGUGUUGACGUGCUCUUCAAGGUGUUUUGGAAUAGCACCUAGGGCGCCAAUUACUACUGGGAUGAUUUUGGUCUUCUUCUGCCACAGCCUUUCAAUUUCAAUUCGUAGAUCUUUGUAUUUUGUUAUUGUUUCUAUUUCUUUUUCUUCUAUUCUGCUAUCCCCUGGUAUUGCUAUGUCGAUUAUUUUGACUUGUUUUUCUUUCUUCUCGACUACAGUUAUAUCUGGUGUAUUGUGUGGCAGAUGUUUGUCUGUUUGUAGUCGGAAGUCCCAUAAUAUUUUUGCAUCUUCAUUUUCUACAACUUUUUAAAUUUUAUGGUCCCACCAACAAUAACAAUAACAAUAAUCAUUAUGUCUUCUUCUUGUUGUUACUGAUGUUGUUGUACGGAAUGGCCAGUGCAUAGAUGAGAAACCCAUGUAUGCCACCCUUGGGGACGAAGCCACAGCUCAGAGGCAAAGCAUUGGUAUUGCAUGCAGAAGGUCCCAGGAUCAAUCUCUGACAUUUCCAGGUAGGGCUGGGCAAGACUCCUGCUUGAAACCUUGAAGAAGCUACUACCAUUCGGUGCAGACAAUACUAAACUAGAUGGGCCAAUGGACUGAAUCGGUAGAAGACUGCUUUCUAUGUUCCUAAGGUGCCUUGAGGAUCUUUUGAUUGAACGCAACGGUGGGAUAUAAAUUGAAUUAAUAAUAAUACAUAGCAGUACUUGCAAACCUGGCAGGGACAUAUUAUGCUUUCUUCCCUGAGGGCCUCCUUCCUUGCCUUCCCAGGUGCUAUGUGGUGAGUUUUUAAGUGGCUGCUAUGCUGAAAAUUGUUAUCUGCAGCCAUCCUUUGUAGGAAGGUGCCAAAGCAGAGACUGGGAAAUUGUCUCUUUUCAGUGAUGUAAAGGACUGGCAAGCAUUCUGGUGAAACCAGGCAGUCUCAAGACAAGCUCAUAGCCAUGCACUGCACAGGGAAAUUCUCCAGAGAUGUGCAAUUCAAUGUUCUCCUUUGACUGUACAUAGAGUAAGCUUAUUCAGGCAGCAUCCCCAGGGAGAUCAGUGUUUUUAAAUAACAGGCAAGGCUUCCUCCGGGGAAGUUUAAAUUCUGUUGUGUUUGACAAUCUGUCUUUGGGAGCAUCAUCCUGUAGCUUUACCCUUUGAGGUCAGCAUAAUUUUUUACUACUUAUGUAGGAGAAUGACACAAAAUGAAGAAGUGGAUUUCUGAGGAAAAGAAACUUCAGGUGGCUAAAACAACUUAAUGAGCCCAAACCAUUCCAAGGAUGGCUGCUUAACUCUGAAAAUACACUUCCAUCUUGCCAUAAACAAAAUACAUCUGAAAAAAUAGUCACAUUUUACAAGUUAGACUUCAAAACGAGGCCUGCCCUCCAAAUUAGGUCCUUUAUAUGUGCAGAUCAACAUUCUUCAGUGAAAUGAAAGAACAUCUGCAGGUGCACAUCAGAGUUAAAUUUCUCUUGACAGGGACAUGGUGGAGCCUGGAUUUUAGUGUGUGUUUGUAUUUACCAAUUCACUUAGUUCUAGUAUCUAACCAUUAUUUUGGCAUCUCAAUUCUAGCCUAACUCUGCAACUAAAAAUCCCAGAGCAAUGAUUCACAAGUAGCUAACAAGAGCUACAAGUUCCACAGAAGUGCUUCCAAGACUACAUGCACCUAUCUUUUGAAGGACCUUUUGAGGAACUAUUGACUGGGGAAAUUAGGAGACCAAUAUUCUGAAAGCGAUAGGAACCUCUUUUUCCAAUGUAUACAUGGAGAAUAUUUAAAGACACAAGCAACCAAAUACCAGUGGCCUGGUUUUUCAUUAGAGGCUAUCCGUGUCAGUCAGGAGCGGUUGAGACAAUCAAUUGAUCAUAUAUUGCUUCACUGUUUAUUUUAUAGAUAUAUACGGCUAGUACUUUUGUCACCUAUUUUGUCUAGAUUCCCAGGUAGGCCAUCGGCCUCUUAUGUGUCUCUCCUUUUGUCUGACAGUGAUAUUAAUGUUUCCACCAAAGUGGCAAAAUUUUGCCACAUUGCAAGCUGUAUAAGAAAGCAAUUGGUAAAAUCAUGAGUGUUGACUGUACUAUAUAUUGCUAUAUUGUAAAAGGUGUUUUGUAAGAAAGUACUGGCAGAAUCAUGAUUGUUGGAGGUUACUACUUAUCUAUUGUGCUGAAUUUUUGUCUAGUCUAUGACCAAAAUAAAGAUUCCUUUCCAUUA